rnacentral:rRNA from 1 species
GACGAACGCUGGCGGCGUGCCUAAUACAUGCAAGUAGGACGCAGUUGCGAACGGGUGAGUAACGCGUAGGUAACUACCUAUUAGAGGGGGAUAACUAUUGGAAACGAUAGCUAAUACCGCAUACUAGUAGAUGGACCUGCGUUGUAUUAGGUAGUAGGUAGGGUAAUGGCCUACCUAGGCAACGAUACAUAGCCGACCUGGAGGGGGGGUCGGCCAAACGGGGACUGGGAAACGGGCCAGACUUCUACGGGAGGGAGCAGUAGGGGAUCUUCGGCAAUGGGGGGAACCCCGACCGAGCAACGCCGCGUGAGUGAAGAAGGUUUUCGGAUCGGAAAGCUCUGUUGUUAAGGAAGCGGUACUUAACCAGAAAGGGACGGCUAACUACGUGCCAGCAGCCGCGGUAAUUC